rnacentral:lncRNA from 1 species
AUUCCCUGCAGCAGAGACAUUGGUGAGUCAAGUGCCAGUGGAGGAGAAGGCAUGGGUGAUGCUGCAGCCACUACACAUAGACUCAGAGAUCUGUCAUCUGCUGCUUACCAGUCAACUGGUAAACACCACUGCUCAUGCCAAAAGUGGCACAAUGGAACCCUAAGCCAAGAAGGGAUGCAGCAUCUCCUAGUCACACCCUAAAGCAAUGCAAUUUUGAACAACCAUGCAAGAUAUCUACUGCAAAAUGCUAUAUUACCAUGCAAUAAUCUUAUAAUUCAAUGUAACAAACAUAUUUGAAAGACUUUCAUAUUUACUGUAUAAAUAAGAUAAAGUAUGCCUUUAACAUGGGAAAAUUUGAGAUUGCCAUAAUGUUCAUUAUUUUUGCCUUUAUUGUCUAUAUUAACCUAAAUUUAAGAUUUUUGUUUAUUAUUAUACAAGGGGGCUACAUAGGCAAAGUAGACUUAAUAUUAGCAGGUCAUGCUUGAGAGUAGUAGGUGAUGAGUAGGGUCAGCCGCAGUGGGCCAUUGUAACAUCUGUAGCUGUCAGCUUUGAACCCCUGUCUUCAUGGUGCCAUCAACUUUCUGAAAUCUAACUAAUCUAAAUCCCUAUCUAACUAUUCCUAAUCAAAGUUCUAUAUAAAGAAGUAACAGUAUAAAAUGUCAAGGGGGCAGGAGUUAGGGAGGGAGAGUUGAAGUGUAGUAGUCAGUAUAAGGGAGAAGAGAGGAAGGGUUAAGGUUGUUGUUGUUGUUAAAGAUUCGCUACUUGGAACAAGCAGUUCCAAGCAGCACGGGCUAUGGUGAGCCCGUAAUAAGGGUUAAGGAGAAAUGCACAACCAAGUCUAUCAAAAUUGAUUGAAAACAUAGACUGUAUGGUACAUUUUUAUUUAACAACGCAACACAAGAUAUGCACAUAUCAGUAUCUGUAUUGCACUACUACAGUAUUCACAAAAAUAUUAACUUGUCAAAGCCCUCUACUGAAAUUUAAAUGCCAUGGUUACCUGUCACAUCCCAUUGAAAUCUAGAUACCAGGGUUAGUAAGAACAUAAUGGCUCCUUGUUUACUACAUUUAUAAGACACCACUAAAAUAAUUAAACAAAAUUAAACUCCCCAUUACUAAAUUACACACAAAUUAUUGAAUUUUAGAGAUCUAUAAUUUGGUCAAGCUAAUUCACAGUUUUUAAGAAGAUGAGGCCCAAUCAAGUCAACUCCUACAAGAAACUAUGUUGAAGAAACUAUGUUGAGAACAUAAUACUGAAACCUAGCUAGCUAACUUUACCAUGUCACUCUUGCGACAACUGCAACAGCCUCAUAAGAGCAGACAGCCCUAGCAUCUCAGAUCAGUUCCUAAUAUUCUACAAUGAUCUUGCAAAUGCCCCCCUCCACAUAAGAAAAUAUUAAGUAUAAGACAUAGCACUGAGAUAAUUAAGAAUUUACUUAUGUUUGCAAGCAAGAUUUAUAAUUGUAACUGUUCCAAUGCAUAUUUUCAUAAAUAGUACAGUAUUUGUAGUCAAAAGUGCUAUAGUGGUGAACAAUGUAUAUUUAAUUUUAAAUCAUUCUAACCUCUAUAAAAAAGCUCAACUGCUUCAACAGCACUUGUAAAUACAAGCUUUAGGUUAAGAAGAAAGGACAAAUAUCUCUAUUUUGUUAACUUCAUUUCUACUUUCUUCUAGGAAUUUCUGUCCUUACCAACUGAUAGCUAAAACCAGAGUUCAACUGGACCCAUGUAGAGUUCCAGGGUGUUGGUUGGUCUUGACACUUCCUUGUAAUAUCACACGCAAGUGUUGAGAAGCUGGGAAACACUCUCAUCAGGUAGCUGUGGGCAUUCAGCAGGCAUCAUGUUCCACUAUCAGAACCAGCCAGACAACUUGGAAAGACAACUAGCAUGGGCUAGCAGGAAAGCUGUUCUGAAUGCUCGCAGGAGAGCUAAUGUGGAUGCUAGCAAGAGAGCUACUGUAUUCUAAAUGCCAGCCGGGAAGAUGUUGCGAAUUCUAGCAUGAGACAAGAAGAAUCUAGAUGCAUUGCCAAAUACAGUCUGGGCAACUGCAUGACAACUCUCCAACGUCGAUGAUGUAACAUGAUAUAUAGUUAAGCCCAUACCUUUAAAAUGCCUCAUGAUAGUGAUGUUUAAGAGAAUCACUUGAAGCAUUUGCUACCGUCCACGCACUGGUCUGGUUAUCACACAACCAAAACAGUCUUCACAUGCUUGCACUCACAAAUGUGAAAGAAUGAGGACUGGCUCAGCAAGCAUAUGUAAGUGGCAAGAGUAGAAGGAAAGAUAAGACUGGAACAAAAAUAUAAAGAUAUGUAAUAAAAGGGAAGUUUAGAGGUGGAUGAAAUGUUACAGACUGCAACAGGGUUUGACAUACAUAUGAAUGAGUUUGGGUGGAUAUACAUAGGAGCUGCCUUGUAUGGGUCAACAGUUCUUCUGCAGUUUCCUUUACUCUUUUGUUCUUAAUGUGCUCCAGUGCUACAAAGAAGGCAAGAGAAAAAUCUUGAUACAGUAGUACCUAAUUAGCACAACAUAAUAUGGGAGUAGCGUUGGACUAAUGUAAAAAAAUGUUGUUCUUGUCCAAUGUUACUCAAGUGACGUGUGACUGCUGUCAAUAUCUGUUUUUAUAAUAUAUUUGAAUGAUUUAUGCCAAGUUUAGUGUUCAUUGGUUCCUAGGCUAAAAGGGUAUCUUCUAAUUGUUUACUCAAAACCAUUAUACUGUACUUGCAUACAAAAAUAAUGACAGGACCUUGUUCAACUACAGUAGAUUAAUUUAAUUGGAUGAACUUCAUUUGACACAAAGCUGCAAUGAUUUGGAAACCUUCAUACAGUACAGACAAUGGACAGAUACAUUGGUAUCAGUUACAAAACCUGUAAACAAUCAUACAAUACCUUUUGUGUUCAAUAACUCUCCAAAUUAUAUGCAGAUUAAUUUUUGUUAAUAUUCAUCCAAAAUUUAUAAUUAAGGAUUUAAAUUCAUAGAAUAUGUGAUCAUUAAGAUGCUCUUCGUUUUCUGCUUCCACAAUUAAUUAUUUUAAGCAUGAAAAUACAAACAAUACUAACACAGAAUUGUUUCAGUGUAAGUUUUUUGCAGAAUAAAAUUGGCAGAAUUAAUUGCACACAAAGGAAACAAAGCUACCGACAAAACUUUCUGGUUUUCUUUUGCACACAGAGUGGUAGACAGUUGGAACAAUUAAGUGAGAAAUAAAAUUAACAAUUAAGAAAGUGGAGGCCAAAACUGUCAGUAGUUUCAAAGUGUCACAUGACAAAGAUUAUCGGGAAAAUGGGGCACUAUCAGUAUAGCUCUCAUCCUGUAACUACACUUCGGUAUUUACCCAUGGAAUAUGUACAGCUGCUGAGUAAUUCAAGAAGCUAAAAAUACUACUCAAUUUAAUAAACUAUAGCAAACUCGGACCACCAUCCUGGUGGACGGUGGUCUGCUGCUCUUCUUGAUGCCGUAUUUUGCACUACUCGUAGUUUUUGCAUGUUAGUUUGUUUUAAAAUGUGUAGUGGUACUGGGGGAUAUUCUAGAUGCUAAAGAUGAUGACAGUACAUUCCAGCAAUGAGUAGAACCAGCAAAAAAAGAAUACAGAUGCUGACCAAAGCCAAAGAAUUUGAUAGUCUGUAGACAACACUCUGCUGCUUUUACCCCCACUAAGUUCAGGCUGUGUCCAUCACAGGAGACAUAGAUGCAAACUCAUUGAUUUGAUGAAUCUGUGCUUGCAAUCCAGUAUAUUGUCUAGACAUAUUUGAGGCAUUAUCGUAUGACUGACCACGACAGUUUGAUAGUGGAAUUUUGUUCUCAUUAAGAAGAUCCACGACAGUGUCUGUUAGAUCCUUUGCUCUAUGAGAAAAGAUGGGGAUGAACAUUAAGAAACGUUCCACAGGCUCACAGCCUUUAUGUGUCGGACAGUAAAUGUAAACUGAUCUGUAUGAGAUGUCUGGAGUGGAAUCUACACUUAGUGAAUAAUACUUUGACUCUUUUUUUACUUCUUCAAGAAUAGUACAAAGAACCUGUUGUCCCAUUAAUUCAAUAAAUUACUCAAUAAAUUAAUUUAAUAAAUAUUUGCAGAUAAAUAUGAUGGAUUACUUUUUCCAGGAUUUUCAUACAUUUUGAGAUGUUCUUCCAAGAAAGGGUAAAACUCACUUAGAAGCUCUAGUAUGCCUAAAUAGUUGCCAUUUUUUGCUGACCCAAUAAUCUGAUUUUCUCCUGGAACUGGCAAACCUCUAGAGGCAAGAAAGUGAAUUACAGAAACCACAUGUGUCAACACUUUAUGUCAAUAUUCCUGCUCGGUGCGAUGUUGCUCAAUUAAUAAAGAAUCUACACUUCCA